GUGCCAGCAGCCGCGGUAAUACGUAGGGGGCAAGCGUUGUCCGGAAUUAUUGGGCGUAAAGCGCGCGCAGGCGGUUCAUUAAGUUUGGUGUUUAAGCCCGGGGCUCAACCCCGGUUCGCACUGAAAACUGGUGGACUUGAGUGCAGGAGAGGAAAGCGGAAUUCCACGUGUAGCGGUGAAAUGCGUAGAGAUGUGGAGGAACACCAGUGGCGAAGGCGGCUUUCUGGACUGUAACUGACGCUGAGGCGCGAAAGCGUGGGGAGCAAACAGGAUUAGAUACCCCGGUAGUCC
rnacentral:rRNA from 1 species